UGGCGGACGGGUGAGAAACGCGUGAGGACAUGGCUCCAGGAGGGGGAUAACGUUUGGAAACGGACGCUAAGACCCCAUAUGCCGGAAGGUGAAACUGGCGCAAGCCAGCCUGGAGAGUGACUCGCGUCCUAUCAGCUAGUUGGUGGGGUGAAGGCCUACCAAGGCGAUGACGGGUAGCCGACCUGAGAGGGUGGCCGGCCACACUGGAACUGAGAUACGGUCCAGACUCCUACGGGAGGCAGCAGUGGGGAAUAUUGGGCAAUGGGCGAAAGCCUGACCCAGCGACGCCGCGUGGGGGAAGAAGUCUUUCGGGAUGUAAACCCUUGUUGUACGGGACGGAACGAAUGACGGUACCGUACGAGGAAGCCCCGGCAAACUACGUGCCAGCAGCCGCGGUAAUA
rnacentral:rRNA from 1 species